rnacentral:rRNA from 1 species
AGCGAACGCUGGCGGCAGGCCUAACACAUGCAAGUCGAGCGCCCAGCAAUGGGAGCGGCAGACGGGUGAGUAACGCGUGGGGAUCUGCCCAAUGGUACGGAAUAACCCAGGGAAACUUGGAUUAAUACCGUAUGUGCCCUUCGGGGGAAAGAUUUAUCGCCAUUGGAUGAACCCGCGUCGGAUUAGCUAGUUGGUGAGGUAAAGGCUCACCAAGGCGACGAUCCGUAGCUGGUCUGAGAGGAUGAUCAGCCACACUGGGACUGAGACACGGCCCAGACUCCUACGGGAGGCAGCAGUGGGGAAUAUUGGACAAUGGGCGCAAGCCUGAUCCAGCCAUGCCGCGUGAGUGAUGAAGGCCUUAGGGUUGUAAAGCUCUUUCGCCGGUGAAGAUAAUGACGGUAACCGGAGAAGAAGCCCCGGCUAACUUCGUGCCAGCCGCCGCGGUAACAC